AACGAACGCUGGCGGCAGGCUUAACACAUGCAAGUCGAACGCAUCCUUCGGGGUGAGUGGCAGACGGGUGAGUAACGCGUGGGAACGUGCCCUUCAGUUCGGGAUAACCCAGGGAAACUUGGGCUAAUACCGGAUACGUGCGAGAGCAGAAAGAUUUAUCGCUGAAGGAUCGGCCCGCGUCUGAUUAGCUAGUUGGUGGGGUAAUGGCCCACCAAGGCGACGAUCAGUAGCUGGUCUGAGAGGAUGAUCAGCCACAUUGGGACUGAGACACGGCACAAACUCCUACGGGAGGCAGCAGUGGAGAAUAUUGGACAAUGGGCACAAGCCUGAUCCAGCCAUGCCGCGUGAGUGAUGAAGGCCUUAGGGUUGUAAAGCUCUUUCGUCCGGGACGAUAAUGACGGUACCGGAAGAAGAAGCCCCGGCUAACUUCGUGCCAGCCGCCGCUGUAA
rnacentral:rRNA from 1 species